rnacentral:rRNA from 1 species
UACAGGGGGGGCAAGCGUUGUUCGGAAUUACUGGGCGUAAAGGGCUCGUAGGCGGCCAACUAAGUCACACGUGAAAUCCCCAGGCUUAACCUGGGAACUGCGUGUGAUACUGGAUGGCUUGAAUUCGGGAGAGGGAUGCAGAAUUCCAGGUGUAGCGGUGAAAUGCGUAGAUAUCUGGAGGAAUACCGGUGGCGAAGGCAGCAUCCUGGACCGACAUUGACGCUGAGGAGCGAAAGCUAGGGGAGCAAACGGG